UACAGAGGGCAGCCAAGUCGUGAGGCGGAGCUAAUCCCUUAAAGCCAUUCUCAGUUCGGAUUGUAGGCUGAAACUCGCCUACAUGAAACUGGAGUUACUAGUAAUCGCAGAUCAGAAUGCUGCGGUGAAUGCGUUCCCGGGUCUUGUACACACCGCCCGUCACACCACGGAAGUUGGGGCGCCCGAAGCCACUUAGCUAACCCUUUUGGGAAGCGAGUGUCGAAGGUGAAAUCAAUAACUGGGGUGAAGUCGUAACAAGGUAAC
rnacentral:rRNA from 1 species